UCAGCUCGUGUCGUGAGAUGUUAGGUUAAGUUCUAAAACGAGCGCAACCCCUGUCGUUAAUUGCCAGCACGUUAUGGUGGGGACUUUAGCGAGACUGCCAAUGAAAAAUUGGAGGAAGGUGGGGAUUACGUCAAAUCAUCAUGCCCCUUAUGAUCUGGGCUACAAACGUGAUACAAUGGCUAUUACAAAGAGUAGCUGAAACGCGAGUUUUCGGCAAAUCUCAAAAAAAUAGUCUCAGUUCGGAUUGAAGUCUGCAACUCGACUUCAUGAAGUUGGAAUCGCUAGUAAUCGCGAAUCAGCAUGUCGCGGUGAAUACGUUCUCGGGGUUUGUACACACCGCCCGUCAAACCACGAAAGUGGACAAUACCCGAAAGCGACAGCCUAACUGCGUAAGCAGAGGGAAUCGUCUAAGGUAGGGUCGAUGAUUGGGGUUAAGUCGUAACAAGGUAUCCCUACCGGAAGGUGGGGAUGGAUCACCUCCUUUCUAAGGAAAUUUUUUAAAAUGAUCAUCUUCAGUUUUGAAAGACUUAAGUUAAUUUAAAAAAAUAAGUUUUUCGUUUUUUUCAUUAGUUAAUUCUUUUAAUAUAAUAUUCUUUAAGAUUUUAAGGGCCUAUAGCUCAGUUGGUUAGAGCACACGCCUGAUAAGCGUGAGGUCGGUGGUUCAAGUCCAUUUAGGCCCACCAGUCUAAAUGUACUGAAAAUCAAAAAAGUUCUUUGAAAAGUAGAUAAACAACG
rnacentral:rRNA from 1 species